CUACGUAGGGGGCAAGCGUUAUCCGGAUUUACUGGGUGUAAAGGGAGCGCAGACGGCGAUGCAAGUCUGAAGUGAAAUGCCGCAGCUCAACUGCGGAAUUGCUUUGGAAACUGUGUGGCUAGAGUAUCGGAGGGGGAAACGGAAUUCCUAGUGUAGCGGUGAAAUGCGUAGAGAUUGGGAGGAACACCAGUGGCGAAGGCGACUUACUGGGCCGUAACUGACGCUGAGGCGCGAAAGCGUGGGGAGCGAACAGGAUUAGAUACCCUGGUAGUCCACGCGGUAAACGAUGGGCGCUCGUCGUCGGCGGCAGACAGUCGGCGGCCAAGCGAAAGCGAUAAGCGCCCCACCUGGGGAGUACGGUCGCAAGGCUGAAACUCAAAUGAAUUGACGGGG
rnacentral:rRNA from 1 species